GACGAACGCUGGCGGCGUGCUUAACACAUGCAAGUCGAGCGGUAACGGCCCUUUCGGGGGUACACGAGCGGCGAACGGGUGAGUAACACGUGGGUGACCUGCCCUUAGCUCUGGGAUAAGCCUGGGAAACUGGGUCUAAUACCGGAUAUAGACUCCAUGACGCAUCGUUGUGGGGUGGAAAGCCUUGUGCGGCUAGGGAUGGGCCCGCGGCCUAUCAGCUUGUUGGUGGGGUGAUGGCCUACCAAGGCGACGACGGGUAGCCGGCCUGAGAGGGCGACCGGCCACACUGGGACUGAGACACGGCCCAGGACUCCUACGGGAGGCAGCAGUGGGGAAUCUUGCGCAAUGGGCGAAAGCCUGACGCAGCGACGCCGCGUGA
rnacentral:rRNA from 1 species